GGGGGGGGAAGGCGGGGACUCGCGCUGCGGACACCGUUAGGCGGAACUCCCCUUCUGCCUCCUGGCCUACAGAACUUGUGAAAGCAGCUCCCCAUCAGCCGGGACCCCCGUCUUAAAGGCAGAAAGUGAUGCUCGGGGGCUAGGCCCGGCUCUGGGGGAGGGGAGGCCGCCGGGACACUUGCCUUCCGGUCCCGCUGCUGCGGCUGUCGCCGGGCCCCACACCUUCCAGUUCCAUGGGGUCAGAGAUGUAAAGCCGGGCCGGAUCCCGGGACUGACUCACUUAGAGGCCCCUCCCGCAUUUUACAGAGAUGGAAACUGAGGAAAAGCUCCAUCGCCCCUGGAUCUGAAAUCCCGCCAAACGCCUAUUUCCUUUUCCGCCCAACCAGGGGAAUGGACCGCAUGGUCUCUAAGGUCCCCCCGGGGUUCUGCCAUUCUCUGUUCCAAAGCCACAAAGCCCCGCGCUAACAUUCUGUGUUCCGAGGAUCCCUCCCGGCUCCAGGGUUCUCUGUUCCAAGACCCUUUCCAGCUCCCUGAUUCUCUGUUCUGCGUUCUGGGGUCACCUAAAACGCCGGCGUUCCGUGUUCCGAGGCCCCCAGCGUGUUCGCACGCUUCCAUUCCAUGGCUUGCUUUCGGCUGGUUCUUUUUGGAACGCGGCCCUUCCACCACCAAUGGGUGCGCUUCCUGUGGCCUGGGGUUUAGCAGCAGGUCAGGGAGAGUUUAUUAAGCCCCUACUAUGCGCCAGACUCUGAGCGCAAACAUCCCAUUUGCCUUCAAGUCCCUCACGAGCGAACGGGAGAGGUCGUGUCCACAAAUCAUGUACAAACAGGAGAUAUUACAGGCAUAGAGGUGAUCCUGAGUUCCUCAGAAUUAUGCUAUGGGAGGAAAAGCUCUAACCAGCCUGAAAGACUUCAUGUAGUCCUGGCCUAGAUUCCCAGGUUUGGAAGGCCUGGUAUGGCCACACGAGCAAUGGCCACAUGCCUCAGCAGGCAUAGCAGAUCACAGGAUCCUUGAUGGAGAGCUGGACAGAACAUCAUCAAUUCCAAGGACCUCAUUGUACGGAGGAGAAAAUUAAAGCCCAGGGAGAUUAAAGGACUUCCCUAAAUUCACAUAGAGAAUAAAGAAUUGAACCCAGUU
rnacentral:lncRNA from 1 species